GAUAUGAUACAUUAGAGAUCCACCAUGUGUUAUAUUGAUUGGCCCUAAUCAUAAACGCAACUAACACACAGAGGAGCUGGAAACAGAACAGAAACACUUCUGAGCUGGUUUGGAGUCUCAGUAUUCCAGGUAGAGGCAUAGCUACGUUGGGUAGUACAGAAUACUCACACAGCAAAUUCCAUGGAUCAUCUAUAUCCUAAGACACAGACCUCAUGAAAUGGCCCUUUAAGUGAGAAAACUGAUAGAAACCACGAAGCUACUCUCUAAGACUGAUGAAAUUCUAAGAUCACCAAAUUUAUAGAAAGUAAGAUAAAUUGGGAAGGCUCAGAAGACUGGCUUAAAGAUAAUGAAGAAGUUAAAAAAUAAAUAUAAUUGUUCUGGGAUGCUGUGAGAAUACCUAUAACUUUCUCAUAUUUUCCCUAAGCCAGCUUUCAUAAGAUUCUAAAUCUUGCCACAACACUCCCUAAGACAAAGACAUACAGUUGGUGCUUUUUGUGAGCUUUUGAGAACAUCUUGCUUACAAGGUCAUGAAGACAUUCUCCAGGAUAUCUCCUAAAAGCUUUAUUAUUUUGACGCAUCUGGAAUUAUUUGGAUAUUAUGUAAAAUAUUGCUACUUACCAAGAACUGGGCCUUGACCUGGCCUGAAAAUCCAGUUCAACCAGUGCUCAAGAACAUUUGUCUUCAAAGGGGACAAAUAAGGCAGUUCUCUGUGGAGUGGGAAG